CUGCCCUACUUGAUUGAUGGGACUCACAAGAUCACCCAGAGCAACGCCAUCCUGCGGUACAUUGCCCGCAAGCACAACCUGUAGUUUGUGUCCAAAAUUGAUUCCUUCUGGUGAGUUCUUGGUCUUGCUGACUCUAAGAAUGAAGCCGCGGUCCUACACGGUGAGUGUUACAGUUCUUAAAGAUGGUGUAUCCGGAGUUUGUUCCUUCAGAUGUUCAGAUGUGUCCGCAGUUUCUUCCUUCCGGUGGGUUUGUGGUCUUGCUGACUUCAGGGGUGAAGCCGCAGACCUUCGCAGUGAGUGCUACAGCUCUUAAAGGUGGCGCGUCUGGAGUUGUUUAUUCCUCUUGGUGGGUUCAUGGUCUGGCUGGCUUCAGGAGUGAAGCUGCAGACCUUCAUAGUGAAUGUUAUAGCUCAUAAAGGUAGUUCAAACCCAAAGAGUGAGCAACAGCAGGAUUUAUGGUGAAGAGUGAA
rnacentral:sRNA from 1 species